AAAUCUCCCUUCCACACUUCAGUCAUCAUACCUAAACUCUCCAGCAGCUACCAGAAGGGCGAAUACUUAAAAACAUGCAUCAAAUGGUGGAAAAACUUUCUGUGUCUCAGUGCUGUUUUACGACAUUCCUGUAAUCAUAUGAUUUAACUUUCAAGGAGCCUUUAAAAAACAAGAGUGACUUUUAACAUGCAGUCAGCUUGAUGAAGGAUGAGGAGGCUGAGCACAGCAUGCAGGCAGCAGCUAGAUGAGUUAUUUCCCGUGUCAUAGGAUGGACAUGAGUACAGCAGAGUCGGUUAUCAGCUAUUGCAGCUUGACACUGAGCUACAACACAAUCCAGCAGCACAGGAGCAGCAUGAAAUGUUUUCAGAAAGGAAAAAUGUUGCUUACUCUUGCUGUGAGUGAAUAUUGCUGCUUUAUGCAGCUGCUCGUUUUACUGCUUUUGCUUCCUGCUUACUUUUUAUUUCUUGC
rnacentral:lncRNA from 1 species